UCGGUCUUCCCGCCAACGAAGGUCGCCGCCACCUCCCUCCUCAGGCGCCUCUUCAGAUGGCAGGACCUGGAGCUGGUCCUGUACAUCAGCUGGGAGCUGGUGAAGGGAUUUGUCAUGCUCCAGCAGCAGGAAGGAGCACACUCCAGCAGCCAGUUCCUUAACACGGAUUUCACUUUCUUGUAAGGAGAACAGCAUAACCCAGAGUUACUGCAGGCAACCAGAAAGCAGUUUUUCAACAUGCUGGAUAAAAAGCAAUUAAAAUAUUUGUGAGUCUAUGUGGGUUUUUAUUAGCUCCCAUUGACACAGGAAUGGUUCAGCUUCAGCAGAUCCUAGACCUGGUGAUGUGUCCAGUGGAGCAGCAGCUGCUCUUCCCCCAGGCCUUGGCUGCUGACUGGGACACUCCUCCCACAAAGCUCCAUAAACAGCACAGUGGAGCUGCCUGAAAUGGAAUUCCACACAGUGAUGCUGCCUCCUCCCCACUUCCUGCCCACCCUCCCUGAAAUUCUCAGUCACUUUAGGGAACAUGAAUUAGCACAGCUGUCCCAUCACCUGCACUGCAGGGGUGUCUCUCAUGGCCUCUCCAAGCUGCAGGAACACAAGACCCUACCUGAGGCUGAAUGACCCUCAAGAUCUCAUGGUACAAAAGCUUCUUCUCAAGAAUUCCCAUCAGACUGUUCAUUCCUUCUCAGUAUUUCAAGUCUUUGUGAUCUUAUUUAAUAUUUAAGAGUCAGCAGAAAGCACGCCUGGAAUCCAUGGAGGAUUCACCUCCCACCGAAGAGGAGCAGGAGCUCACAGGACUCCAAGUGCUGUGCUGAGGUGGAUUUCAGUUGUUGCCAUUGCAAUGUGAAGGCCUUUGACCUGAGCUCUCCCAUCUCUCCAGGGCUGCUCUUCUGACUGGGAGAGCUGCCACCCCACCCAGCUCCAUCCCAGUGCCACCCACUACUCAGGAAUACACGUGUACCAUUUUUGGAGGUCAUUUAUUCAGCAUUAACCAAGCUGAUUUCCAGUCUGUUCUGCACAGUGGUGCCUUCAAAAUGAAGCUUGUGCAGCGCAGCAUAUUGAAGUAACACGGACUGUAAGUGGGGUAUUACAAGUCAGAACACAUUCCCUAAGAGACAGCAAUGCAAAUCAAAGUGUGAAAUUAGUGAUGUGAUCCCACCAUUUUGCCAUGCCUGUGCAGAACCCAAGUGAAGCUCUCUUGUCCUUUGAGGCACAUCUCCUUGAUGAACCUGUGCAGCCCUUGGGCUUAGGGAAGGGCAGGAGGGAAGAAGCAGUUUCCAUGACAAAUGUCCAUCUGACACAUUUAGCAAGGACACAGCACAGGAUUUACCUCCUGCUUCAGCGAGACCCUCAGCCCCCAGACCACAGUUCUGCCCCUCUCCCUCCCCUGAUAAAUCCUGGCUGCCCACAGCAGAGGUUCCUGACAGAGAAGCCCCAGAACAGGCCACACAUUAAGGCAGAGUCUCCAAACCUCAGAAGUGCAGGUGCUCAAGCACUGCAGGAAGAAGGGACUUGUUUCUGCCCCUCCUGCUGUCAGGAUGCCUCUUCUGGGAGCCUCCUCUGAGGCUGUGCCUGCCUUACAGAGCCCUGCCAGCAAAAUUGUUUCAUUAGAGGGGCAAGGGAAAGGUUCUUCCCACAGCCUUGGGAGGACAGACCUACACCCCACCUUGAGUUUGAUGGCACAAACAAGAACAUCACCCCAGCACAGUGACAGCUACGUCUGCACAGCUGGGUUAGCACCCAAGCGCGUAUGAGCAGAGGACAGUGAGGUGUCCCACAGUGAGGCACAGCACCAGGGAUCCCAGAGCACCCCUGGAGAGCUGUUCUGCCACACAUACAGGGGUUAGCAAUAGAGAAUGAACUGGGCCAUGAUUACCAGCAGUGAUAAAUGCAGUGAGAACCACAGCUGCUGCAGCCUCCUUCCAUUUUUAAUUAGCUUUGUGCCCAGCUUUCAAAAGGCAGAAACCAAAACUGGUCACAAUAUCCCAGAUUACUCUUACCACCAGCAUUUAGAUGUCCUUCCUGGCAUCACCGUUUAACACACACACACAUGUUCUGACAUGCUUCAGCACUGCCUGUCCAAUGAUUCAGAUCCUUUUCAGGCUGGACUCUCUUCGCUUUUGCUGCCUGAAAGCUCUAUGAUCUGGCACAUUUUCUUUGCUGUCUGCUCUAUCAGUCUAUGCUGUCUGCACAUUCAACAUUGUGUUUUCUUCCCAAGUACUCAGUGAAUAGAACUGCACACGAGAGUUGGGAUGCCUUACACUCACUUCAGGUGACACAACUGU